rnacentral:lncRNA from 1 species
AGGCAUCACAAUGCCUGAUCUGAAAUUAUACUAUACAGCUAUAGUAACAAAAGUAGCAUUGUAUUACCAUCAAAGUAAACAUAAAGACCAAUGGAAUAGAAUAGAAGACACAGUCAAAUGCACAUAACUGAUAUUUGACACAGGUGUCAAAAAUAUAUCUUGGAGAAAAGACAGCCUUUUUAACAAAUGGUGCUGAGAAAACUGGAUAGCCAUAUGUAGAAUGAUGAAAUAGACCCCUAUCUCACCCUGCACAAAACUCAAAUUGAAAUGGGUCAAUACCCAGAAGAAAACAGGGUCAAUACUCUAUCAUAAAUACACUGGCACCAACUUUCUUAACAAAAUCCUCAAAGUGCGAGAAAUAAAACCAAGAAUCAAAAAAAUAAAAUAAAAUAAAAUGCUUAGGCAUAGAAAAGGAAUGGUUAAGAGUAUGAAGAGAUAAUCUACAAAAUGGGAGAAUGGGAGAGAAUCUUGGCUAGUUACCCCUCUCAUAAGGAAUUAAUAUCCAUAACAUAAAAGGACUGAAAUAACACCAAAAAACCCCCACAAAUAACCCAAUCAAUAAAUGGGCAAAAGAACUAAACAGAAACUUUUCAAAAAAAGAAACACAAAUGGUCUCAACAAAUAAAUGAAAAAAUAUUCAAUAUCUCUGGGAGUCAGAGAAAUGCAAAUUAAAACUUCACUAAGAUUUAAUUUCACUCCAGUCAGAAUGGUAAUGAUCAAGAAUACAAGCAACAGUAAAUGCUGGCAAGGUUAUGGGGGGAAAGGUGCACUUGUACAUUGUUGGUGGGACUACAGACUAGCACAACCACUCUGGACAGCAGAAUGGAGUUUCCCGAAAAAAUUAGAGAUGAAACCACCACAUGGUCCAGUUAUCCCUCUCCUUGAUAUUUUCUCAAAAGAUUUAAAAUUGGUAUACUACUGUGAUAGUCACCUCAAUGUUUAUAGCAGCACAAUUCAGAAUAGCUAAAUUGAGGACUCAAUGAAUACAACCAUCAAUAGUUGAAC